rnacentral:rRNA from 1 species
GAUGAACGCUGGCGGCGUGCCUAAUACAUGCAAGUCGAGCGAACAGACGAGGAGCUUGCUCCUCUGACGUUAGCGGCGGACGGGUGAGUAACACGUGGAUAACCUACCUAUAAGACUGGGAUAACUUCGGGAAACCGGAGCUAAUACCGGAUAAUAUAUUGAACCGCAUGGUUCAAUAGUGAAAGACGGUUUUGCUGUCACUUAUAGAUGGAUCCGCGCCGCAUUAGCUAGUUGGUAAGGUAACGGCUUACCAAGGCAACGAUGCGUAGCCGACCUGAGAGGGUGAUCGGCCACACUGGAACUGAGACACGGUCCAGACUCCUACGGGAGGCAGCAGUAGGGAAUCUUCCGCAAUGGGCGAAAGCCUGGCGGAGCAACGCCGCGUGAGUGAUGAAGGUCUUCGGAUCGUAAAACUCUGUUAUUAGGGAAGAACAAAUGUGUAAGUAACUAUGCACGUCUUGACGGUACCUAAUCAGAAAGCCACGGCUAACUACGUG